GCUGCUCUGGCACCUUGUUUCUUCUGAUUCUCCUACAUCAGGGCAACUGAUGGUUGAGAUGGUUUGUUGUCCUGGUGCUGACCUUGGUGCCAUCUGUCCAGGAUUUAGGAUGUGUGCUUCCAUGGGCCUGCAGAGGUGAAACUGAGGGCAGGAGCUAGUCCAAAGAAGACGACUACAAAGGAAAUCUGAUGCAAUGUUGCCCACCUGCUCCAGGAAGAGAGAGUACGAACACAAUCCAGUGGAUGAUGCCUCUGCACCCGUACUAUGUUAUAGAGG